GCAGUGGUGGUUCAGUGGUAGAAUUCUCACCUUUUAUGCAGGGGACCUGGGUUUGAUUCCCAGCCAAUGCA
rnacentral:tRNA from 1 species